rnacentral:rRNA from 1 species
AGAAUCAACGCUGGCGGCGUGCCUAACACAUGCAAGUCGAACGAGAAAGUGGAGCAAUCCAUGAGUAAAGUGGCGCACGGGUGAGUAACACGUGACUAACCUACCCUUGAGUGGGGGAUAACCUAGAGAAAUCUGGGCUAAUACCGCAUAAUACCUUCGGGUCAAAGGAGCAAUUCGCUUUAGGAGGGGGUCGCGGCCGAUUAGUUAGUUGGCGGGGUAAUGGCCCACCAAGACUGUGAUCGGUAUCCGGCCUGAGAGGGCGCACGGACACACUGGAACUGAAACACGGUCCAGACUCCUACGGGAGGCAGCAGUGGGAAUUUUGCGCAAUGGGGGAAACCCUGACGCAGCAACGCCGCGUGGAGGAUGAAGCCCCUUGGGGCGUAAACUCCUUUCGAUCGGGAAGAUAAUGACGGUACCGAGAGAAGAAGCCCCGGCUAACUUCGCGCCAGCAGCCGC